UUACCAUGCAYGUCGACGCCCCGCAAGGGGAGUGGCAGACGGGUGAGUAACGCGUGGGAAUCUACCGUGCCCUGCGGAAUAGCUCCGGGAAACUGGAAUUAAUACCGCAUACGCCCUACGGGGGAAAGAUUUAUCGGGGUAUGAUGAGCCCGCGUUGGAUUAGCUAGUUGGUGGGGUAAAGGCCUACCAAGGCGGACGAAUCCAUAGCUGGGUCUGAAGAGGAUGAUCAGCCCACAUUGGGACUGAGACACGGCCCCAAACUCCUUACGGGAAGGCAGCAAGUGGGGGAAUAUUGGGACAAAUGGGGCGCCAAGCCUGAUCCARCCCCUGCCCCCCGUGGAGUUGGAUUGAAAGGSCCUUAAGGGKUUGU
rnacentral:rRNA from 1 species